rnacentral:SRP_RNA from 1 species
GCCAGGCAUGGUGGCGGAUGCCUGUAAUCCCAGCUACUCAGGAGGCUGAAGCAGGAGAAUUGCUUGAACCUAGGAGGCAGAGGUUGCAGUGAGCCAAGAUUGCACCACUGCACUCCUGCCUGGGUAACAGAGCGAGAUUCCGUCUCAA